rnacentral:rRNA from 1 species
GACGAACGCUGGCGGCGUGCUUAACACAUGCAAGUCGAACGAAGAGCGAUGGAAGCUUGCUUCUAUCAAUCUUAGUGGCGAACGGGUGAGUAACGCGUAAUCAACCUGCCCUUCAGAGGGGGACAACAGUUGGAAACGACUGCUAAUACCGCAUACGAUCUAAUCUCGGCAUCGAGGAUAGAUGAAAGGUGGCCUCUACAUGUAAGCUCUCACUGAAGGAGGGGAUUGCGUCUGAUUAGCUAGUUGGAGGGGUAACGGCCCACCAAGGCGAUGAUCAGUAGCCGGUCUGAGAGGAUGAACGGCCACAAUGGGACUGGGACACGGCCCAGACUCCUACGGGAGGCAGCAGUGGGGAAUCUUCCGCAAUGGACGAAAGGCUGACAGAGCAACGCCGCGUGAGUGAUGACGGCCUUCGGGUUGUAAAGCUCUGCUAAUCGGGACGAAAGGCCUUCUUGCGAAUAGUGAGAAGGAUUGACGGUACCGGAAGAGAAAGCCACGGCUAACUACGUG